CUUUACGCUCCCCACUCCCGGUGCAGCAGCCAACCUUCAGCCAGCAGCGGGGCUCAUUAGAAGAGGGUCCCCUGGACACUUGAUUUUUAGCUCACUGGUGACUGGAAAGAGUUAAUACCUAUUCUUUGCUGCCCCCCGCACAGCCUCUGGGUGCAGAGGGAGGCAGCUGUGGGCUGUGGGGACUUCUCCCUGAGCUGCAGCCAGAGGAGCUUCAGAACACCUUAACCCGAAGCCUCUCUGACCAUCCAGUUGGCAAAGACCCUCAGGCCAUGAGGACUGGCCAAAGACAGUGAGAGGACGUGCAAGGGUAAAUUCCUGAGCCCCGCAGUCUUAUUUCCUGCCCUGACGUCCCUGCAUACCAGCCCAAGGGUUAACCGUAAGCUGAUGCCUGUAUGGCGGCCUUACUGAUGCCACGCAGGAACAAAGGGAUGAGGACUCGACUGGGAUGCCUGUCUCACAAGUCAGACUCGUGUAGUGAUUUCACAGCUAUUCUUCCAGACAAACCCAACCGCGCUCUCAAGAGAUUAUCGACAGAAGAAGCUACGAGGUGGGCAGAUUCCUUU
rnacentral:lncRNA from 1 species